rnacentral:rRNA from 25 species
UGACCUCGGAUCAGGUAGGAAUACCCGCUGAACUUAAGCAUAUCA